rnacentral:rRNA from 1 species
UACGGGGGGAGCAAGCGUUGUUCGGAUUUACUGGGCGUAAAGCGCGCGUAGGCGGUUACUUAAGUCGGAUGUGAAAGCCCUCGGCUUAACCGAGGAAGUGCAUCCGAAACUGAGUAGCUAGAGUACUAAAGAGGGUCGCGGAAUUCCCGGUGUAGAGGUGAAAUUCGUAGAUAUCGGGAGGAACACCGGUGGCGAAGGCGGCGACCUGGGUAGAUACUGACGCUGAGGCGCGAAAGCGUGGGGAGCAAACAGG